GGCCAGACUCCUACGGGAGGCAGCAGUGGGGGAUAUUGCACAAUGGGGGGAACCCUGAUGCAGCGACGCCGCGUGGGUGAAGGAGUAUUUCGGUAUGUAAAGCCCUAUCGGCAGGGAAGAAAUUGGACGGUACCUGACUAAGAAGCCCCGGCUAACUACGUGCCAGCAGCCGCGGUAAUACGUAGGGGGCAAGCGUUAUCCGGAUUUACUGGGUGUAAAGGGAGCGUAGACGGCGGUGCAAGCCAGAUGUGAAAGCCCGGGGCUCAACCCCGGGACUGCAUUUGGAACUGUGCUGCUAGGGUGUCGGAGAGGCAGGCGGAAUUCCUAGUGUAGCGGUGAAAUGCGUAGAUAUUAGGAGGAACACCAGUGGCGAAGGCGGCCUGCUGGACGAUGACUGACGUUGAGGCUCGAAAGCGUGGGGAGCAAACAGGAUUAGAUACCCCCGUAC
rnacentral:rRNA from 1 species